CUCCUUCUAUCACACUAGAAAAACAGGAGGGGUUGUCUUAUAGCUGCCCUUGUCAUGUCCAGCAUGCAACUGCUCCCAAACAUGAUGUGGCCUUUCGCUUUGUGCCUGCUUCACCGUGAACCCUCACUCACUUCACUGAUGUCCACCAAAUGGAACUGCUUGACAAAGACCCUUCAGUUCAUGCCAUUUUCUGCAUUCAAGGCCAGCUGACAGCCUAGUCCAAAGACGUUUACAUCCUGGAAGAGAACUUGCUGGCUUUUCACCUCAGCAUGUAUGGGCCAAACUAAUAUAACAAGAAGUCUUGAGAGGAGUCAGCGGCCAAGCUCCAUGUCUUGCAGCCAAACAAUGCUGUGGGAUGGAAGGUGGGAUGUCAUGUGUCUGGUUUACAGCACUCACGUAUCAGUUGGCAGUUAACGGAAGUGCUACUGAUUGGUGAUAUGCCUACUCCCCCUUCACCUUCGAUCAUGAUUGUAAACUUCGUGAGGACAUCACCAAAGGCUGACAUUGGCAACAUGCUUCCUGUACAAUCUGCAGAACAACGAUGGAACAAAAUAAACACCUUUUCUUUAUAAAUUACCCGGCUUCAUGUAUUCCUUCAUAACAAUGCAAAGCAGCCUAAUACAAAUUGUCAGUGAGUAGGCAGAUUUUCAGAAUGUAUGGCUAAUUGGAAUUUCCAUGGUCCUAUAUGAGAAGAGAUUUGAAGUAAUUCCAUAGAAUGUUAUGAGCGCCCUGGGAGAAGAAAAAGGGUGAUUUUUCAGAAGGAAAAGAGUGUAAGAAAAACAUGAAAUUCAAUUUUCCAAUGACAGUUCUG
rnacentral:lncRNA from 10 species